rnacentral:rRNA from 1 species
UACGAACCGUGCGAACGUUGUUCGGAAUCACUGGGCUUAAAGGGCGCGUAGGCGGGCUAUCAAGUCCGGGGUGAAAUCCUCCAGCUCAACUGGAGAACGGCCUCGGAUACUGAUGGUCUCGAGGAGGAUAGGGGCACACGGAACUGUGGGUGGAGCGGUGAAAUGCGUUGAUAUCCAUAGGAACUCCGGUGGCGAAAGCGGUGUGCUGGAUCCUUUCUGACGCUGAGGCGCGAAAGCCAGGGGAGCAAACGGG